GGCCACAGCCAUAUCAUCCGGCAGCCCAAGACUGGUUGCCCACUGAAGCUAAGCAGGGUUGAGCCUGGUCAGUACCUGGAUGGGAGAUCUCCUGGGAAAACUAGGUUGCUGUUGGAA
rnacentral:rRNA from 1 species